rnacentral:tRNA from 1 species
GCGCCCAUAGCUCAGCUGGUAGAGCAAUCGACUCUUAAUCGAAAGGUCGCAGGUUCGAUCCCUGCUGGGCGCACCA